GCACCCGUAGCUCAGUGGAUAGAGCACCGGUCUUCUAAACCGAUGGUCGCUGGUUCGAUCCCAGCCGGGUGCGCCA
rnacentral:tRNA from 1 species